rnacentral:rRNA from 1 species
AACGAACGCUGGCGGCAUGCCUAACACAUGCAAGUCGAACGAGACCUUCGGGUCUAGUGGCGCACGGGUGCGUAACGCGUGGGAACCUGCCCUUAGGUUCGGAAUAACUCCCCGAAAGGGGUGCUAAUACCGGAUAAUGUCUUCGGACCAAAGAUUUAUCGCCUUUGGAUGGGCCCGCGUUGGAUUAGCUAGUUGGUAGUGUAAAAGCCUACCAAGGCGACGAUCCAUAGCUGGUCUGAGAGGAUGAUCAGCCACACUGGGACUGAGACACGGCCCAGACUCCUACGGGAGGCAGCAGUGGGGAAUAGUGGACAAUGGGCGAAAGACUGAUCCAGCAAUGCCGCGUGAGUGAUGAAGGCCUUAGGGUUGUAAAGCUCUUUUACCCGGGAUGAUAAUGACAGUACCGGGAGAAUAAGCUCCGGCUAACUCCGUG